UAAACAUUGAAGAGUUGUGCUGCCUCAGCGUGUGGUUCCAGUGCGGUCAUGUGACUGCCAGGCUCCGUUGGAUUGGUGAAACGCAGUCAAAGGUUCCCCGAGAUCCUGCAGGGAGCUGGAAGUCAAUGUCAGAAGGGAAAGGUUUUAUGUAUCUUCCAGGACUCUGGGCGCUGAUGAAGAAUUUGUCCACAAAGUUGAAACACCGAUGACAUCUAUUAAACAGACAAGAAGCAAGGAAUUAAACAGAGACAGGAUUCAACGUCUGGGCUGUACAGUCUUCCACUACGCUCUGACGAAAGGAUUGCACGCCUCCUCUUUUAUUUGGACUUUCCCUGAUUACAUGGCAACAGCUGUUUCUAAGGGGAGAGCGGGUCGUAAACAGCCGUUGCCCUCGGUCACAAAACAGUUCAAAGAAAAGAUGCCUGGAGCUUGCGUCAGAUCCUGCUUCCUCUCCGCUUUGUAGAUCUCGGGUCAAGACAAGAUCUUCCUGUGGAUUACAACAGAUCAAAGAAACCGACACCUUCAUGUCGCUUCCCAUCUACACAGUGGAGUUUUACAAGCCUUUUGCUUGGUAAGAUCAAGGACAGCUUUUGUCCUCUCGCCGGGAACUCAUGGAAACAGAACAUUUUGUGAUAACUUACAUACAAUUAUUCUGAAAAUUGGUCUUAUGUCAAUAUUUAUGUUGAUAUGAUGUCUUUAUUUACCGUUAAGUAAGAAUUUCACCUUUUAUGUGCUUUGCUGCUGUUUUU